UUAACUAUCCGUUUUAUAUGAAAUUUUUUUAUAAUUUAUAUUUUUAUUGUUGUUAGAUGAUAAAACAUGAUUAAUAUUUUAUACGUGACUUGUCUUUGUAAUUUUUUUUCAUAAUUUUUUCAAACAAGACGGACAGUCGACACGGAAACC
rnacentral:pre_miRNA from 1 species